AACUAAACUAGUUGAAGCUUCUUACCACUAACUUGCCUUUGAGUUUUAUUAUUGUUGUCAUCAUUAAGAGUACAUUAAUACUCUUGAUUUUAUUUUACUUUUUAUUUCAAGUUGUUUAAUUGGAUCUAGAUACGUGGGCGUAGGGUUAUUGGAAUGGGUGGGGCUCAUUUUUGAUUAAUCAAGAUGUCUUCAAAAUGAGCUUCAAUUGUUAAAUGAUUAGUUGAAGCAGAGUACAUUUCCAGCCACCAGGAAGAGGAAAAGGAAGGAAUAAAAAAGAAAGCAGGAUAUUGUGCUGACAUCACUCCUCAACUGAUGAAGACUCAUGAAGUAUCUGUCAACAUUCAAGUAUCAUACGGAAAGGCCACCACUGACUGUUCUCAGUAGUAGCAAAGAACCAAAUAAUAAUCAGCCUAAAACUGGAGGAGUGGAUUUCACUCGCUAGGGGAAGAAGGUCUGUCUUGAUGAUACUGGAGCAGAACUGGUGUAUGAAGAAAUAACUGGAGGUAGUAGCUGGGAUCAUCCACACAGGAAUGAUGUACACACAAUCACAACUGAUCCUCCUUGUCCAGUCUGCUAUAUACAGCUAUAAAGAAGUCAAACUGAUGAUUAUUCCUAUAGCUGUCUCUAUUCAUGAGUGGAUUCUAGAAUACAAAGGUUGCCUGAUGUCUGAAAGAGAUGUUCACAAGAGAAAUGCUGUCUUUGAAUGCGUUGAUGAAAGCACAGAGUCUAUUGAUGGUAGUGGUGUUGAUAGCUAAUGGUGCUAUGUUCUUCUUCACCUUGACCAUGCACUUGCAACUGCUUACCUUGUCUGUCUUAUGUCAAUAAAUGCCUAUUACUUGUGGUUGUAUGUACCAAAUAAUUGUUUGAUGUUAUUGAAUAUGCCACAUUAUUUGAACUG